AGCCGGGAAGGAGGGGAGCGGAGGCCCGGCGUGGGCAGGCCGGCGAGAAGAGCCUGGAUCCCUGGGUGGACCUGUCUUCAGCUUCCCUGUGAGCCGGGCUGCUCGCGCCUGCAGGACGUCCGGACUUGCUCACCCCCCAACACUGGACAAAGCAGAAAUCCGGGGGACCCGAUGCCGAGCCUAGUGGCCCAUCUACAGCACCGCCAAUCUUCUGGGGCUCCAUCCCGCCACAAGGAAGCUGGAGUUCGGGAUCCUAGCUUGGAACUGCAGAGGGCCUGGCAGCCAGAGCCGGUGGAGAGAGACUUCACUAUUGGCUUGCUCCACUUUUUACAGUCUUACAUUCCUCGCAAAGUUCUCAGAAGUGCCCCUCCGAUAGAGGAAAGUUAGAGGAAGGAGUCUGGUCGUCCUGGAUGCAAGAAGGUUAGAGAGGUUGAGUUAAUGUUUGAGGCCAUCAUUCAUUACAUGCUCCACAACAUGGAUUCUUAACUAGCAAUCUGAGGACUUUUCAACCACAAGACAGCUAUAAGGAUCUAAUGUAGGUUUUACCGAGGGAGAAAAUUACACAUAAGUUUUCCAGGAGUACUAAAAGAGAACAUUAAGUAAGGCCUACUGCCCACCCCUUUCUGUAGGAUCUGGGCAAACCGAACGGUGAAAGCAAUCCACACAGCUAGAGAGGCAAUUUGCAGUGCGGGAAUCUAGUCAGUUUCCUGGCUUCUCCAUGCACUUGUCUCAAUAUAGUUUCACGAAGUGAUGCACCUGCGCAGUGAACUGUGCCUUCUGCUGCUCGAGCACCACCAGGCGUUGUAACUCAGCUUCACCAAGCUCUGCCAAUAUCAGCGUCAGGCGCUUCGCUAUGGUACGCAUGCGUGGUCCUGAAAGCAACUUUUGCUCUUUAUCAUCAACUCUAAGAUACUCAGGGGCUUCUAUCAAUGAUGAGACACAUCUGCAGAAACUCAUAUUCCUUCCACAGGAUCACAUGAUCCUUGUCCAAGGGUGAACACACAGAAAGAACAUUGUUCAAGCAAACCAUACCAAUCCUGACCAGAGAGGACAGAAAGAAACUGACUCUCAGGAGAGAGGGCCCAAGUACUUUAAUGCAUUUUUUGAAAUUAUUAUAAAUUAUUUUACAACAUCCACAGCAAAUGAAACUAAUUAAAAGUAUUUUGUAAUACACAUGUCCCCAGAAAUAUUUUGUGAAGUUAAAAGGAAAAAAUGGUCUUGCCAAAAUUUUCACUGCAAAUUAUGAAUGCUAUUUAAAAGAUAAGAAAACAACAGCAGCAGCAAAAACAACUAAAACAAAAACAGCAAACAACAACAACAAAUAAAGAGAAGAUAUGACGAUGUUUUCAAAGUUAAAUCUUUAGAGAUAAUUGUCUUGGCACAGCUGCAGUUCCAGUUCGUGAAGGCUAAUGCCAGAGUUUGAUGAAUUCCAGGGCAACUACAGCUGUAAUGACAGUAUAUAAAGAUGAAACACACAAUAAAAAUACACAUAAAUGAAACCAAGACUCUAUAAUAAUAAUAAUAUUAGAAGAUAAACACAAAAUUUAUCUUUCCAUUCUUUUUUCUGUGGUGAUAAGAUGGAAAGUGCGCAGUGAUUAAAUUAUGUUUAUUUUUUAAUUGAUUAUUUUAUUGAUUUACAUUUCAAAUGCUAUUCCCCUUCCAAGUUUCCCCUCCUCUGCAACCUACCUGUCCCAUUCCCUGUCCCCCUGCUUCUAAGAGGGUGCUUCCUCACCCACCCUUCCACUCCUACCUCACCCCUCUCAUAUUCCCCCCCUAUGCUGAGGCAUCCAACCUCCACAGGACCAAACCCCCACACCCACCAACUGACAACCGACAAUGCCAUCCUCUGCUACAUCUUCAGCUGGAGCCUAGGUCCCACCAUGUGUACUCUUUGGUUAGUGGUUUAGUCUCUGGGAAAUCUUGUGUGGGGGGGUCUGGUUGGUUGAUAGUUGUUGUUCCUAUGGGGUUGCAAACCCCUUCAGCUUCUUCAGUCCUUCCCCUAACUCCUCCAUUGGGAUCCCAUGCCCAGUCUGAUAGUUGGCUGCAAGAAUCCACAUUUUUGAUAUUCAAGUAUUCCUUAACUAUGGCAUUGACAAACGCUGAGAAGUUCACACAAAGCCAUUUUCCUAAUGGUCAAAAUCAAUUAAAACU
ensembl:antisense 4921504A21Rik RIKEN cDNA 4921504A21 gene